GUUGGGUAGGGGAGCGUUCUGUAAGCCUGUGAAGGUGUGUCGUGAGGCAUGCUGGAGGUAUCAGAAGUGCGAAUGCUGACAUAAGUAACGAUAAAGCGGGUGAAAAGCCCGCUCGCCGGAAGACCAAGGGUUCCUGUCCAACGUUAAUCGGGGCAGGGUGAGUCGACCCCUAAGGCGAGGCCGAAAGGCGUAGUCGAUGGGAAACGGGUUAAUAUUCCCGUACUUGGUGUUACUGCGAAGGGGGGACGGAGAAGGCUAUGUUGGCCGGGCGACGGUUGUCCCGGUUUAAGCGUGUAGGUGUGUGUUCCAGGUAAAUCCGGUUCACUUUAACACUGAGGCGUGAUGACGAGGCACUACGGUGCUGAAGCAACAAAUGCCCUGCUUCCAGGAAAAGCCUCUAAGCAUCAGGUAACAUCAAAUCGUACCCCAAACCGACACAGGUGGUCAGGUAGAGAAUACCAAGGCGCUUGAGAGAACUCGGGUGAAGGAACUAGGCAAAAUGGUGCCGUAACUUCGGGAGAAGGCACGCUGACACGUAGGUGAAGUGAUUUACUCAUGGAGCUGAAGUCAGUCGAAGAUACCAGCUGGCUGCAACUGUUUAUUAAAAACACAGCACUGUGCAAACACGAAAGUGGACGUAUACGGUGUGACGCCUGCCCGGUGCCGGAAGGUUAAUUGAUGGGGUCAGCGCAAGCGAAGCUCCUGAUCGAAGCCCCGGUAAACGGCGGCCGUAACUAUAACGGUCCUAAGGUAGCGAAAUUCCUUGUCGGGUAAGUUCCGACCUGCACGAAUGGCGUAAUGAUGGCCAGGCUGUCUCCACCCGAGACUCAGUGAAAUUGAACUCGCUGUGAAGAUGCAGUGUACCCGCGGCAAGACGGAAAGACCCCGUGAACCUUUACUAUAGCUUGACACUGAACAUUGAGCCUUGAUGUGUAGGAUAGGUGGGAGGCUUUGAAGUGUGGACGCCAGUCUGCAUGGAGCCGACCUUGAAAUACCACCCUUUAAUGUUUGAUGUUCUAACGUGGACCCGUAAUCCGGGUUGCGGACAGUGUCUGGUGGGUAGUUUGACUGGGGCGGUCUCCUCCUAAAGAGUAACGGAGGAGCACGAAGGUUGGCUAAUCCUGGUCGGACAUCAGGAGGUUAGUGCAAUGGCAUAAGCCAGCUUGACUGCGAGCGUGACGGCGCGAGCAGGUGCGAAAGCAGGUCAUAGUGAUCCGGUGGUUCUGAAUGGAAGGGCCAUCGCUCAACGGAUAAAAGGUACUCCGGGGAUAACAGGCUGAUACCGCCCAAGAGUUCAUAUCGACGGCGGUGUUUGGCACCUCGAUGUCGGCUCAUCACAUCCUGGGGCUGAAGUAGGUCCCAAGGGUAUGGCUGUUCGCCAUUUAAAGUGGUACGCGAGCUGGGUUUAGAACGUCGUGAGACAGUUCGGUCCCUAUCUGCCGUGGGCGCUGGAGAACUGAGGGGGGCUGCUCCUAGUACGAGAGGACCGGAGUGGACGCAUCACUGGUGUUCGGGUUGUCAUGCCAAUGGCACUGCCCGGUAGCUAAAUGCGGAAGAGAUAAGUGCUGAAAGCAUCUAAGCACGAAACUUGCCCCGAGAUGAGUUCUCCCUGAGACUUAGAGUCUCCUGAAGGAACGUUGAAGACGACGACGUUGAUAGGCCGGGUGUGUAAGCGCAGCGAUGCGUUGAGCUAACCGGUACUAAUGAACCGUGAGGCUUAACCUU
rnacentral:rRNA from 3 species